AGACUCCUACGGGAGGCAGCAGUGGGGAAUUUUGGACAAUGGGGCGCAAGCCUGAUCCAGCAAUGCCGCGUGAGUGAAGAAGGCCUUCGGGUUGUAAAGCUCUUUUGUCAGGGAAGAAACGGUUGGGGCUAAUAUCCCCGGCUAAUGACGGUACCUGAAGAAUAAGCACCGGCUAACUACGUGCCAGCAGCCGCGGUAAUACGUAGGGUGCAAGCGUUAAUCGGAAUUACUGGGCGUAAAGCGUGCGCAGGCGGUUUUGUAAGUCUGAUGUGAAAUCCCCGGGCUCAACCUGGGAAUUGCAUUGGAGACUGCAAGGCUGGAAUCUGGCAGAGGGGGGUAGAAUUCCACGUGUAGCAGUGAAAUGCGUAGAGAUGUGGAGGAACACCGAUGGCGAAGGCAGCCCCCUGGGUCAAGAUUGACGCUCAUGCACGAAAGCGUGGGGAGCAAACAGGAUUAGAUACCCUGGUAGUCCACGCCCUAAACGAUGUCUACUAGUUGUCGGGUUUUAAUUAACUUGGUAACGCAGCUAACGCGUGAAGUAGACCGCCUG
rnacentral:rRNA from 1 species